rnacentral:lncRNA from 1 species
UAUAUGAUAGGUAUUAGAUAUAAUACAUAUAAUAAAUAUACCUACUCUAUUCGUUUAUUAGAUAUUAGACAUAGCAGAUUUAUCUAAUUUAUAUUUAUAAUAUAUAUAUUUAUAUAAUAUAUAUGAAAUAUUACAGAUAUAGCUAAUAGAUAUAUAUAUUAGAAGCCUGGCGUAUAUAUUGGAUAUAUUAUAUAUAUUGGAUAUAUUAUAUAUAUCGGAUAUAUUAUAUAUAUCGGAUAUAAUUUCUAUUAUACGCCUGCUACACUAAAUAUUUAUAUAAAAUCUAAUAAUUCUACCUAUAUAUUUCAUCUAAUAAUUAAAUCUAAUAAUUCUACCCAUUAUCUCCCUAUAUUUAAUAUAUUACAUGCUAUAUUAUACAUAGAAUAUACGUUAAACGAGGUGGAGUGGUGUAUAAAUGCAUUAAAGCACGUAGCGAGGCUUAGAAAUUAUCAACAUCUUUUGAGCCAAAUUCCUCAAUUUUCAGACAGGAUUUGCCUCCUCUUUGUUUUUCUUUUUUUUUUCGCGUAUUUAACAUGCAAAAAUGGUGAAAAACCCCCGCUUCCCCUUUUUUUGCUGUUUUCGAAACCAGAACUGAGCUAUUUCAGGCAAUUCUAACCUCAAAAUAAAGCCAGCUGAAAAACAAGCACAGCUGCAACUUCCGGCCACCAAACUGGGCUGAAAUCAGCCAUUUUAGGUGGAAAAGAGGAAAAAAAAAGUGACUUUUAAUUUAAUUUCUUUAUAUUUUUAAAGCUUUGGGCCAUAUUGUUGGAAGUUUGUGGUGAAAAAAAAAACAACUUUUUAAUAAUAUUUUUUAUCACCAACUCCAGGCAAAUAAUUAAACUCUUGGAGUCGAUUUUAGGCUAAAAUAAAUUAAAAUUAUUUUAAAUGAUAAUAAUUAUAAUAAUAUUAUUAUAUAUCAUUAUUAUACACUAUAUAUAACACAUAUAUAAUAAAUACUAUUNNNNNNNNNNAUAAUUAAACUCUUGGAGUCGAUUUUAGGCUAAAAUAAAUUAAAAUUAUUUUAAAUGAUAAUAAUUAUAAUAAUAUUAUUAUAUAUCAUUAUUAUACACUAUAUAUAACACAUAUAUAAUAAAUACUAUAUAUUAUAUAUAUUAUAUUAUAUUAUAUAUAUUAUAUAUGUGUUAUAUAUGUUAUAUAUUUUGUUAUAUUAUUUUAUAACAUAUUAUAUUAUUAUAUAUAUUGUUAAUAUUAUUAUAAUUACCAAUUUAAAAUAAUUUUAAGCAAUAAACUGAACCUGGAACCUCAAAUUCCCCCCUUUUUUGACCUAAAAACCUUAAACAUCACAAAUUAUUGCCCCCCUUUUUUUUUUUUUUCUGCUAUAAUUGGGUGUUUGCUUUUUUGGGGGGAAAGCAGAUUAUUGCGUGAAUUUAGCUAAAAUUGUUGUAUCUGCAGCCGGAGAGGUAAAAUGUCUAAUUAUCUUUUUAUGGCUUAAUUAAGAAAUGCAAUAAAAUGGGUUCCCCCUCUAAAAAUGUUCAUCUCUGCUCUUAAAAAACCCAAUUCCUGGCUCUUUUCAACCAAUUUUUCCUCCCUCAUAAAGAACGACUAAGACUAUAAUGAGAAAUUGCCUAAAAAUCACUAUUUUGCCAUAAAUACCAGAAAAAUCACUAUUUGAGCACAAAAUGCCUCAUUCCAAGCCUGCCUACUGCGUAAAACCAUUAGAAAUUGUCGUGCCAGAAACCCUAAUUUUUGGAUAUUAAAUUAAAAAUGAGACUUGUGGGGAGGUUUUGAGGAGUUAUGGGCGAAUAAAGGCAAAAAUAUGCCAAAAAUUGACAAUAAUGGGUGAAAAAUCAACGCUUAAGCCUCAUUUAAAAUUUAACGGUAUCAAAAUUUAUCAUUAAAUAGCCAAAUUUGGAAGGGAAGAAAAAAAUAAGUAACAGUCUCAAUCCACUCCUGCUUUUUGUCUCAAUUAAUAAAGUCCCAACUAAUUAAUUAAUUAAAAAUAAGGAUUAUAAUGCAAUAUUUUUUGGGUGGGUCUUUGCCCUAAGUAAGUCAAACUCCUCUAAAACUGCCCCAAAAAUGUCCUAUUAAACCUUUUCUGGGUAAAAAAGGGAUUAGAUUUCGACUUUGGUGAAAUUUUAACAACUCUAAAAACUCCUAAAACUGCCUCAAAAGCGAUUAUCGAUAAAAUUAAGAUAUUUUUAGCCACCAAGACCCCCUGAAAUUCACCCAAGAGCCCCCAAAAUGCCUAAUUUCAGAAAAAAUCCACGAAAAAAGCCAAAUUCCAGGAGAUUUGCGGGGACCUAGACUUAGGGACAUCAGCCUGGCAAAUUUAACUCAAACCACCCCAAAACCAGCCCAAAUUAAAAGGAAGACAUUACCUGAAAUGUCAUCCUUCAGCCUCAAUCUUCACCCACUAUUUUGGGUCAAUUCACAAUGAUUUUUUCAAUUAACUAACCUCACUGGCCAUUUUUGUUAAAAACAGGGACUUUUCUGUCCUUUUGCCCAAAAAGCUCUCAAAAAGCCUCAAAUAGGGCUCGACCUGAAGACUCAAUAAUCAAACUGUCCUAUUAAAUAGAAAUCUCUAUUUUUUUUUUCUUAGAAACUCAAACUUUGGGACUAAGUCACCAAGAAAACUAACUCCCUAGAGACGCCCCCAACUGCGAAAUCUAAAAAAAACCUGAAAAACUGCAAAAUUCAAAGUCCUCUGUCUUCCCCUGUUCAGCCUUAUCUGCCAAAUAUAUUUUCUGACAUAAUUUUGCCUGAAAAGUCCUUUUUUUCUCCAUAUUUUGCCCAAACAAAGCAAUUUCUCCCCCAGAAAAAAAAUUAUAUAUUUAUAAAUCUAAAAAUCUAUAUAUUAUAUAUUAUAUAUAAACAUAUAGAAAUAUCUAUUAAAUAUAUAUUAUAUAUAAAAAAAUAUAAAAUAUAUAAAAUAUAUAAACUGGGGAGAGAAAAAAAUCGACAUUUCCACUCUACACAAACCCUCUACUAAACUCAACUCAACAAAAAUGCCAAAUUAAGCCCCAAAACCUUCCCUCGGGUCCCUUUUGCCCUCACACGUCCUAUUUUCCCCUCCCCCCCCCAAAAAAAAAAAUAUCUAAAAAUAGACAUUUUAGGGCUGACAAAGAGUUUUUGACCUAAUCCUGCCGGCAAAUCACCUCCGCAUGAUUUUUUUUCCAAAAGACCCCCAAAUUGAGUUUUUGACCCAAUCCUGACAUCAAACUGCCUUCAGUUAACAUUUUUCCCCUAAAAACACCCUAAAAUCAUAUUUUUGACAUGGUCCUGCCAUCAAGUCACCUCCUCAUGAUUUUCUGCCCCAAAAAAGACCUGAAAAUUGACUUUUUGACCCAAUCCUGACAUCAAACUGCCUUCAGUUAACAUUUUUCCCCCUAAAAACCCCC